UUCAGUCUCCUUUGCUGGAUCCCUGUCUUCUGAUGUCCGUGUGAUAAAACAGCCCAGGUCCCAAGCCCAGACCUCUUCUGCAUCUACAUUCAUUCUCACUGGGAUCUCAUUGACCUCACUGCUUUAAACACAGUCUUCCAAAUGUACAUCUCCAGCCAAACUUCACCUCUAAAUUUGGAAUUUAUUCAGCAGACUAUUUGACAUCUCUAGGUAACCACUUUUACUAGCCCUGGAAUUAUGUUGCCAAUGUUUCUUUUGCAGACUGAACAACACAUGGACAAACAAACUGAAGCAACACUCCCCACUAAAAGGAACCAAGGGUCUUUAGAGGAAUAGCUGAUUACCUGGGGAGGAAAAAUACAUAAAAUGAACCUGAACAUCUCAUAACAGCAAGGAAGCUACUGAAGAUUAAAGAGGUCAUGUCAGUGGAGCACAAGAAGAAUAUGAAAGGGUUUCCACUGGCCAAAGAUUAAAACUUUGUUUGUCUAAGAGGGUAAAGACUGCAACUGUUUGAAAUACAUGGAAUACAUAAAUCCUUAAGUUUAAAAGGAUACAAAAAUCAAUCACUCUGUCUGUCUGUCUCAUUGGUCACCACUAAAUGCAACCAGGGCAUCAACUCCUUACUCUGAAAUUAACAUUUAAAGGGAAAGAAUUAAAUAUUUAUCCUAUCUAUCCUGGGUAAAUUCCU